rnacentral:rRNA from 1 species
GAUGAACGCUAGCGGCAGGCUUAACACAUGCAAGUCGAGGGGUAAUCACGCUUUCGGGCGUGAACGACCGGCGCACGGGUGCGUAACGCGUAUACAAUUUGCCUUAAACUGGGAGAUAGCCCGAAGAAAUUUGGAUUAAUAUCCCAUAAUAUAUUUAGGUGGCAUCAUUUAGAUAUUAAAGUUACGGCGGUUUAAGAUGAGUAUGCGUCCUAUUAGCUAUUAUGUGAGGUAACGGCUUACAUAGGCUAUGAUAGGUAGGGGUUCUGAGAGGGAAGCCCCCCACACUGGUACUGAGACACGGACCAGACUCCUACGGGAGGCAGCAGUGAGGAAUAUUGGACAAUGGGAGCAAUCCUGAUCCAGCCAUGCCGCGUGCAGGAAGACGGUCCUAUGGAUUGUAAACUGCUUUUAUUUAGGAAGAAUCCCCAGUACGUGUACUGGGUUGACGGUACUAAACGAAUAAGGACCGGCUAACUACGUGCCAGCAGCCGCGGUAAU